rnacentral:rRNA from 1 species
UACGAAGGGGGCUAGCGUUGUUCGGAUUUACUGGGCGUAAAGCGCACGUAGGCGGAUCGUUAAGUUGGGGGUGAAAUCCUGGAGCUCAACUCCAGAACUGCCUUCAAUACUGGCGACCUAGAGUCCGGAAGAGGUGAGUGGAACUCCUAGUGUAGAGGUGAAAUUCGUAGAUAUUCGCAAGAACACCAGUGGCGAAGGCGGCUCACUGGCCCGAUACUGACGCUGAGGCACGAAAGCGUGGGGAGCAAACAGG